GACACCGAGCGCGGCGCGGAAAACGUCAGGUCGAAGGCCGGAACACGCCGAUCCGCCUUGCCCCCCGCGUUGGUGACAAGCGAGGACCCGUUCUCGCCGAGCCCUUCAUAGACGCAGGGGGAGGCCUGUUUGCCGACCCUUCUGCACCCCCCNAGAUCCCCCUGCGGCGCAUACCAGACGCCAUCCGGCUCCCGCUCACCAAGAUAGUAUUCGGC
rnacentral:misc_RNA from 1 species